UGUGGCAGAAUAGUGCAAUAAAUUUAAGAUUUAUAAAAAAAGUAAACCUUUCAUUAGA
rnacentral:tRNA from 1 species